rnacentral:rRNA from 1 species
AUUGAACGCUGGCGGAAUGCUUUACACAUGCAAGUCGAGCGGCAGCGCGGGGGCAACCCUGGCGGCGAGCGGCGAACGGGUGAGUAACAUAUCGGAACGUACCCAGUAAUGGGGGAUAACUACCCGAAAGGGUAGCUAAUACCGCAUACGCCCUGAGGGGGAAAGCGGGGGAUCGAAAGACCUCGCGUUAUUGGAGCGGCCGAUAUCGGAUUAGCUAGUUGGUGGGGUAAAGGCUCACCAAGGCGACGAUCCGUAGCGGGUCUGAGAGGACGACCCGCCACACUGGAACUGAGACACGGUCCAGACUCCUACGGGAGGCAGCAGUGGGGAAUUUUGGACAAUGGGGGGCAACCCUGAUCCAGCCAUUCCGCGUGAGUGAAGAAGGCCUU